rnacentral:tRNA from 1 species
UCCCUGAUAGCUCAUUUAGUAAAGAAUCUGCCUGUAAUUCAGGAGACCCUGGUUCGAUUCCUGGGUGGGGAA